AGAUUCUUGAUCGGCACUUGUCGAUAUAUGACGAUAAUAAUUCAUAAUUUUUUUAUUGUGAAUAUUUACUGUUUUAAUUUGGACCGCAGAAUUGCAUUUAUAUAUUUAUUAUAUUUUAAGGCUUUUUUUAAUAUGCAUCUAUCAUCUACCAGUUAUUUUUAAAAUAAGCGUCUCCUCUUAAUGGAUACCCAUCGUAUCCGUGCAUCAUACAUUUAAUCAGGUAUGUGCAUGUUGUGCAGGUACAUCACCCUAUAUAUAUAUAUAUAUAUAUAUAUAUAUAUAUAUAUAUAUAUAUAUACACACACACAUAUAUAUAUAUAUAUAUAUAUAUAUAUAUAUAUAGUUUAGCNAUAUAUAUAUAUAUAUAUAUAUAUAUAUAUAUAGUUUAGCACAUCAUUAUCUGCUAAAUCAAAUCCAUUGAGAGAAGUAUAUCAUCUUUGAAGCUUGGAUGUGACUCUUAAAUGACAUGUUCCUGUGUGUGACAUGUACUUUACACGACUCCAAUACAAUGUUAAUAGGAAUCAAUACAAUGAUUUUCUAAAAACUCAUACACUUAUUGUAUGAGUUUCUAUUAUAAUUAUAAAAAUAAAAAGUAAAUAUUAUAUGAUCACUAAUAUUUAGAAUAUAUAUGUAUUAUCGAGAAUGUUUUUAUUUAACUCCUUAUGAUAUUUUCAUGUAAUGUGGAAUUUUUUAAAGUUGUCUUUAAAUGAAUCUCAGCUAAAGCGACUAAAGUGUCGUUUUCAAUUAUAAUGAUCAAGAAGGAGAUGCAAUGUCUUAAAUGAAUUAUGUCUUCUUUUCACUUUUUGGAUGUUAGAUAAAUGGAUUAGAUUCAUUUGUAUAGUUGAUAAUAUGAUUAGGUUGUUAUAUUUGGCUAACUUUGUUUAUAGAUGAUUUUGAAUACAUAAAAUUGUCAAUUUAAAUAAUUCAUACUGAUUUUGGGGAUUACAUACAUGCUUUGUAUGGCUAAUAGGAACAGAGAAAUUUGUACAGGUGGGUUAGUAUGACCUCUGCAUAGACUCAAUUAACUUAUUUAUAUAUAGAGAAAACCACAAAACAUACCUGCAUGGAGCUAUGUAAUAUAAGCUUGUAAUAGGAUUUAAACUCAAGCCCUUCUUCUGUAGAAGGACUUGUGUUAAGACCAGUCUUAAAGCUUCAGCAAAAAUGCCCGUGACCUGGUAAACUGUACCAACUACAUUAAAAUGAAUUUCUCCGUAGGAGGAAAUGACAACUCCAACACUGACCAGCAACAUGUUGAAGAACACAUCGCACCUUGCUUUGUCAGUGCCACAAAUAACAGCCACCAGGAAUGUUGCCACGGGCACUGAAAGAUCAUGUUUUAGAAUCAAGAAAAUAUCAAUCAGAGGGUAAGCAAAGCAUGUGAAGUCUGUUAAAAACGUACUUAGAGCUUUGAGCAUCUGGAUGAAUGCCACAGAAAUAUGCAAAUAAGCUGUGUUACCAAACCUGUAAAGACAUAAUAAAUUCUUCAUAAAAACAUGACUGUUUUUUCGGAAGUACUGAUAUUGCACAAGGUGUGAGCAUGCGAAUAGAGCAACAUAAAACAUCCAUCAAACUAGUACAAUUGAGAUCUCAUAAUUUUCUUAGAAACAUCAUAAUUUGAACGGGUUAAUUAAAAUGAUAGAAAAUUAACAAAUUCCAAAUGUGUGAGUGUUCUAACCCCAAAAUUGUCCUUGGUUCAACUUCUAAGCGAUUUGGAACUAUUAGAUAUAAUAGAACCAUGGGUGACACACAAAGUAAAAUAUAAGUUUGUGGCAAGCAUAUUAUAAUGACUUAAGACCACACAAUCUAUUCCAGAGUUUGAUAAUGACCUUUCAUUGAACAGAGAAUCAUGGUCAUUCCAAAUACUGAAUGAUGCACUUUUCUCUUUAUUAUGCCACCAGGUUCUUUCAAAAAGGGCUUUCAAUAGAGAACAUAUAACUUCAUGCCUAUAGUACCAUCUUAAUAGUUUUAGGCGAUGCGUCAUCUCCAUUCUUAUGCAGGCUAAUCCGAAUAUCCUUAAACGGGUUUACAUUAGAAAAAGGUUUUCAAAACAAGAUCCUGCUGAGAAACUGGUUAAGUCCCAGGUCUAUAGAUAAUUCAGAAGUGUGGUGCAGAAAAGAAGGGUAAAAAGUGGGCCAAAAGCAGUCAAAGCUAAUUAGUAAGUAAACCAGAUUUUUCACAGAUGUGAAGGAUACUCCCAUUAUAAAAUCUGAGGGCAAGUUUGAUCCCUACUCAGAGCAACUUCAGUUUGCCCGUGUUGAACUGCUUACCAAAGACUUGAAGCAAAGAAGGCACUUAUUGGUAUCACGCAAGUUGCAUAUCUGCAAUCCAUAAAGAAAGUGUUUAAGAAAUAAGUUGGCAAAGGAGAAGAAGAUAAAAAAGGCUUCAAAUCAAAGACACACUUACAUUUCAAAUGUCAUCUUGACAGGAGAUACAACCUACAAUCAGAGAAAAGGAAAAAUAACUCAAGAUAAUCAAAUAACCAGGCAAAGAAAGCGAUCAUAACAAGGAUGAAAAGAAGGCACUAAAAAGUUCAGGUAAGAGGAAGAGUUGCAAAAGGGCACAAAGAAGGACAUCUUAAUGAAAAUGAAACACUAACAUCAACACUUAUGCAAGCACGUAUGCAUAUAAAAAGGUUUUUAGAAAUCACAUCAUUGAGUUGAGAUUCACCCAAAAAAGAAAACUAUAGUUAAUGGUAACAAUAACAAACAGAACAUGACAGUGGUGCCCCUAGAUGCGAUCAAAAUCAAAGCCUAUACACUCGAAUAAAGAACACAGUAACAUCCACUGUACAGACAUAGCACACAAUUCCACUUUUUGGUCAAAACAAAGCCAACACUGCAUACUAAAGGAAAUCAAAAUUGACAAUCAACCAGCAAAAAGAGCACAUUCUCAAAGUACAACACAACACCAAAACAAAAGCGCCAUAACAUACCUUAAAGACCCGGACAAGAAAAAAUGCCACUGCCCCAGAAAAGCCCAUGUGAAUCAUGGUGAGUGUUAUAGGAAGCGGAAAGUUGAAGUACUUUGGAGACAGAACCCACUGCAAAAUUUAUCAAAAAGGAAAAGCAUGAUACUACAUUGGAGAUGCUUUAACUAGAAGUAAAAACUAGUCUAAGAUUGCUAUGUACAUAUAUUCGUAUUCAUAUACCUUGUUGUACAAAAUGACUCCAGAAGAAAGCAAAAUGUAGACAAACAAGUAGAAAUAAGUGAAGAAAAGCGUUUUGUUAAUCAUUGUGGUCCCAAAGAAAGAAGAAGCUCCUGAAGCAGAAAACGCUCAGUUACACGAGAAUCCAAAACUGGGAUGAGAUGAACGCGGUUGUUCAAGACCCAUCUCCUAAAAUGGAGCAAAGCUUGUAUCUUUGGAGUUGCAGCAUCGAUUCAAACGCUGGAACAAGAAGAAGAGAGAAAAGGGCUCUUGCAGAAAAGCCAAGAAGCUAAGCUUUUGUGGCGAUCUAUGGCGCGAAGCAAUGAAGAGAAGAUCCAGGUUCGCGCGAGUGGGGUUCAAACGAAUGAGAGAGCGCGUGAAGAGGAGAGAGAGCGUGUUGGAGCAUAUGUGUGUGUGAUAAAUGGGUGACUAUGAGGAUCAGUAACGGACCUGCAACGUUGGUACUACAGAGUACCUUCUGUCUCUUACUUUUCAAACUUUUUUUACUUAUAUAAAAAUAUAUAUAAUAUUCUUCUCAUUUAUUUUUUGCUUAAACAUGUUUUUAGUAAGCCUUAGUCUCUUUUUUAAAUUAAGGUAUAAUUUAAUCUUUCAAUUUUAUAAAAUUUUGAUUUUAAUUUUUUUAUCUAAUUUUUUUAACUUUAUUUCCUCUUUUAAGCACAUUUCAUUAUAGUAUUUGGAUAGUUUACACUGUUUGACAUAUUUUUGCUUCAAAGUUAACUGAGAAAUACAUUUCAAACAGCAAAUAAAGUUAAAAAAAUUUGAUAAAAAGGACUAAAACUAAAAUUUUCUAAAGUCGAAGAAUUAAAUUAUACAUUAGUUUAAGGCUGUGUUCACUUGGGGGUGAUGGGAGGUGAUUGAGGGAGAGUGAUUGAGUGGAUUUGAGGAUAAUAUUUUUUGUUGUUUAUUUGAGUGAAUUUGGAGGUAGACGAAAGUGGAUUUUGAAGUAAAUUUUUUUAAUCUGUCAUAUAAACUAAAUCCUACACCAAUUCUCACAAAUUUUAUUUCAAAAUUCAGUCUCGUUUACUUCCAAAUUCACUCAAAUAAACAGCAAAAAAAAAUUACCCUCAAAUCCACUCAAUCACUCUCCCCCCAAUCACCUCCUGUCACCCUCAAGUGAACACACCCUAAAAGAAUGACUAAAACCAAAAUCUCUCCAAAAUAAAAACUAAAAACAUAUUUAACUAUAUCUUUUAGUCUCAGAAUAAUUUUAUUUAAUACGGAAAUUAAAAAGCCACCUUUUGAUGCUAAACAAAAACUUCAAUUAAUUAAGGAAAAAAAAUCAAAACACUCCCUAUCCAAAAUUUUAAACAUUAAAAUUAUGGUUAAUGGAUGUUUUACUUUAGUUUUUCAUUUUGAUUCACCCUUUGAUUUUCAAUCUUUAUAACUUAUAAUAAGUUUUUAUAAAUUAACGUAAUGCAUGAUCGAAUGUAAUGUGCAUUUGAAUUUUAAUGUAGUGUGAGUGUUUUUAUGUUUAUAAUUAAAUUGAGAUAAAUUUGACUUUGGAGUAUCUUAAUUAUUUUAUUUUUAUUUUUUGCAAUUUUGGUGUGGUAUGAUUAUUGUGCUUACGUUUCGGAUAAAUCGUGCAUUUAUGAUGUUGUGUCGGUGGUGACACUGCGAUAGAGAUAUUGGGACAUAGGGAGCAUAUGGAAUAAAAAAACUAUAAUUCAAAAUCAACAAUUUCCUUAAUCUAAUACUUUAAAAUUGGAAUAAGAAAUUUACUAAACAAUAUCACUCGUGAUUUUUAAAUUUUCUUAAUUUGAAGUAAAAUUUUUAGUUCAGUUAUAUAGAUGUUUUACAAUUUUAUAUCCACGCAUUCACCAAGGCAAAGUAGAUUAUUAUUCUUUAUUAACUCAUUUGAAAGAUAUAUAGAACUAGUAAAUUAGUUGCCAUGGUUCAAUAUGUACAUAUCAUGUAUAUUCAAUUAGUACUUCAAUAAUUCAAUUCGAUGCAUUUCGAAAUUAAUUCAAUUAUCUUUUAAAAAAUUUGAGAUAUUGGGUAUUGGAUGGUUUGAUCCAGCUCAUUUUUUAUGGACUGCGUAAACUUUUGUAAGACUUUUUCUUCCUGCACUCCCAUUAUUACUAAUUGCACCCUCAUACUUCUCAUCUCUCAGAAAGUUGAUUCUGAAAUAAUCAUUCCAGAAAGUAUUAUAUAUCAGAAAACUGUUUCUGAAAAUCAUAUUUAAGAAAUAUUAUUUUGUAAACUCUGUUUCAUCUCAUCUAAGUUUUGGAAAUCAUGCUCUAGAGAUUUUGUAAAUUUUGUUCUGGAAGAUCGAAAAAUAACUUUUACAAAAGAUAAAAUGGUCAUUUUAAAGAUUUUGGGAGUGCAUUUAGAAAUUAUGGGGUGCUGGAAGAAUAAACUCUUUUUAUUAAAUGGAAACUAGAGAUUGUUAUGAUAUAUGGUUGGGGUGACCUAAAAUUUGGCCAACUUUAUUUUUCUUAUUUGAUGGAAGAAAAGAACUAACCUAGUUUUAAGACAAUCUGGCAUGUCUAGGAUACCUCCAAAUUUAAUAAUUAAUAUAUGAGAAUUUGUUUAUUAUUUCUUUUAAUUGUUUUUUUUAAUACUACAUUUGACAGUAAGCAUCUAUUUUAUUUGUUGCAAGAGUUGACACAAUGAUUUUAGUGUUAAACUUGAAUCCUUCAAUGAUUGAAGAAGUGACAUAAAAAUCAUUGUCUUGUGCAAAUCAGAGAUUGAUAUGUUAAAUGGAUGACAUGAUCUUCCAGAAGUAAGACAUUGGAUUAAUAUUAUAUUCAUAUCACCAACCAAUUAAACCAAUCUUAAUUUUGUUAUGUGAGAAACAUGAUCUCAUAUUUAAAAUUUUUGUUUCAAUUUUAGGUAUAGGAUGUCAUUAUUGAUGACAAGCACUGCAGAAGAGAAUUAUUAAAAAUUAAAGAGAGAUUUUUUCAGAUUGAUAAUAUUAUUAUGAUGGAUGAAUGGAAGUAUGGUGACAAAAGCAGCUAAGCUAACUAUAUAAUAAGUAUAAGAUGAAGGGACAAAGGAGUUUGAACUACUAUAAGACGACAGUGCAUAAGCAACAGCAACAACCAGAAUGCAGAAUGUUGCGUGUGUGGAGAUGUCUCAAAUUUUGAUGUCUCACCAGCCAUAACUUCACAUGAUUCUUUUCAAAAACUCACCAAAUCAUUUCCAAGACUCUUUUCUUUUCUUUCCAAGAUCAAUUCAUCACAUUUUUCACUUUUUAAUCAAUAUUCACACUUUUUUUCAUUUCUAGUUUCAACAUCAUUUGCUAUUAUAAAAUAUUUGUAGUUCGUAAAAAAUUGUUGAAUCAAUUAAACUAAUCUUAAUUUUAGAUUUUCUUUUUAAAAUUUAUUUAUUUAAGUUUAUCUUUAUAUAUAAGAUUAAGUGAAGAUUUGAAUUAAUUUGAUCUAAUUUAGCCUCUAAUUUUAAAAGCAAUUAAAUUUAUUUGUGAAGUUUAUUUCAUGUUUCAAAUAUAUUUUAUAAUUAUGUUUGAAUUAUUUAUAUUGUGUGACAUGUUUUUAUUUUAAUAUUAAUUAAAAAAUACGUUUAAAAUCACAAAUAAAUUUAACAAAAUUUGAUUAAAAAAAUUAAAUUCACGUAAUUAAAAAAAAAUUGAGAGACUAAAUUAGUUCAAGUUUUAAAAAAAAUUAAUUAUAAUUUUUAUUUAAAAUUAAAAAAUCAAAAAUAUAUUUAAUAAUAUAUAUAUAUAUAUAUAUAUAUAUAUAUAUAUAUUUUGGAUAUUAUUCAAUAAGUUGAUAUAUAUCAUCCAUCCUAGAGUUUAAAGUUCGUGUUAUAAAUUUUGUUCUUAAAAAUAUUUAAGUUAAAUUGAUAUUGACUUUUUGACUGUUAAACUUUUAAGUGAUACCAUAUUAUUAUAUAUAUUCAAACUAAAUAAAAAAUAAUACUAAAUUAUAAUAUAUAUAAAUAAUUUUUUUAAAGUCAACUCAUCUACCAUUUUAGUCUAUUCUAAUAAUCGCCGUUGUAACCGUUUUAGUCUAUUUUAACAAUCAUCAUUGUAAAUUUUUGUUGUGGUUUAAACUCAAAAAAAGCAACUAUAAAUAUAUGAAACAAUUAAAGUAGAGAGCAAGUAAUCUAAUAAUUGUUGUUUAAUGUUUUUUUUUUAAAUUUAAUCCAUAUUUUAAAAAGCAUAUGUUGUUUUUGUUAGGAGGAGUUUGAUUAAUGAAAUCUGUAUGAGAAGGUGAUAUAUGUUUCUUUUUUAGUUAAGGAUGUGUAGUGUUGGUUUUGGAACUUUCUUAACUACAUGUGUAUAGGAAGCAGAAUAACGUUAUAUUAUGCAUUGUAGUUUUAGACACGAGGACCCUCUGGAAGGUCAAAAAACAAGGUAAGAAUAAUUUUAAAUUCUUUGUCCUUGAGUGAAAAAAGUGAAUGAAUUGAAAUUUGCACACACUUCACGUUAUUUAUUUAUUUAUGUGUGUAGAAGUAGAAAGGUUUGAGUUGUUCUUAAUGUAUCUAAGUUGUGUUCUGACAAAAUCUAAGCACAGAAUGCAAAUGAUGUCUGAAAGAUUGAGCGUGAAAAAUGAAAUUUAGUGGGCAAUGUCGGUUGAAUAGGAGGCUUUGCAUUUGUUUACGUUAUCUGCUAUGCUGCCACAAUUGUCUCUUUGCUUCGUUUACCCAAAAUGUAAUCAGACAAACAAAAGGGAAGAAAAGUUAUUUUUUAUAUUUCUUCUUCACAAUAUCUUCUUAAGCUUUUAACUUUUUCCAAACUCAUUCAAAUGUUUUCUUUUUUUUUUAAUUUGAGAUUUAAUUUAGUGUAUAUUUUAUAUAGCAUUCACAAUCCAUGCUUAUAUUAUAUUGUAAUUGUUUUUUAGUGGUAAAAGUUAAUCAAUGGGGGCAUAAAUGAUAAUAUAUGUCCAACUUUUAUCAAUAAUGUGUUAGGAUGAAAAAAUUAUUAGAGAUAAUCUCUUUUUAUAGAUAAUUUAAAAAGUGUUUAUGAAAAAAAUAAGUUUGGAUGAGAAAUUCAAAGCUUAAAGAUUGCAAAAGGUGAUUUGCAACAAUGGAUAGUAAGUUAGAGAUACUGCAAUUCUACAAGAAAUGAAGCAAACUUUGUAGAUGUUAGAAGUCUCAUGUCGACUUUAUGGAGUAGGACAGGUUCAACAUAAACAAGUUGAGUUUAUCCUAUCGAUAUUUCUCAUUUCUUGGGCAUUUCUAUUUCACCAAUUGUCAGACCACUAUUGGACCAUCCAAUUUCUAUUAUCACGCACCAAAUGUCUAUAUCUCGGCGUGAAUGAAGUGUGUUGAAAGGCCAAUUUAUAAUAUAUAUAUAUAUAUAUAUAUAUAUAUAUAAGGUGUGAAUCUCACUUUACAAACCAGUUUUGUGGGAUUGAAUUAGACUUAAAAACUCAUUUUCUAAUAUGAUAUCAUAGCCAGAUUAAAACUCAUUUUAACGAAAAUUGGUUUUGUAAUGUUGAGUUUAAUUUGUUAGUGCACAUAAGAAACUUGAAUGAAGAAUAGAAGAAUUGAAAUAAAAAUAAAAGAAACACUUAUCUUUAGAAGAAUUCUUUUGAGUUUUUUAUGUAUCAACAGUUAUGAAUAAUUAGCUAUUUAUAAUAUUUUUUUCUAUUUUGAAUACAACAGUUAACAAAUUAUACAUUCAUAAAUAAUAUUGUUGAUAGCAUGACAAACAACAUAAUAAAAAAAAAAGUGAACGAAGGUUUUUCAAUAGAGAGUUUGUUAUCUAUAUAUAAUCAUUACUUAUAAGAGAUGGAAUGAGAUACAAAUUUUAUAUUAAUAGAAUGUUGAUAAUUUUUUACUUGAAAAAGAUGAAAUAUUAAAACUCAUCCUCACUCUCUACUGUCAUCCCUGUUAUAAAUAAGUAUUUUUCUAUAUUUGAGAAAACAGUGCAUGUGCAAUACUCAAUGGCGAAACCAAUCGUUAGCAUAGGUAGAAUUAAUCAUAUAAUUAAAUCAAAAUAAUUAAAAUCAACAUGAGCUUAUUUGAAAAAAUAAUUAAAAUUAUUUACAUUUUUUCAAGAAUUAAAUAUUUUUAAUUACUAAAAACUUGUUGGAACCUAUAUCAAGUUAGUUUAGUGUUUAGUUCAAUUAGUUUGAAGAUUUUGAUUAGAAAAAAAUGUCCAUUUUUUAAGUGAUAGAAAAAAAAGACAGUCCAUACUCUAAUUAAAUAAAAUAAAAAUAAUUGUAAUACAUAAAAACUCCUCGUAAACAUAUAAUGCAAAUACAUAGGCUGAAUUAAAACUUAGUAUGAACUUAAAAGAACAAUUUCACUGUAUCAAUAAAUAAUAGUUUUAGUAAGUGCCCUUUCUGAUGAAAGAAAAUGGUGAGAUCUGUAUCACAUAAUUUUUAUAGAUUAAGAUUUUGAAGACUAUGAUAUUAAAGAUGUUUCAGUGAAGAAAGCUCAAAAUCCAAAUACUUCUCAUAUGUGUAAAUUAAUUAACAGAAAAAAGUUUCAUAUGCACCUUUUGCUUUCUAACCUUUGCUAACAAAGGAAAAGACACCUAAUCCUUCUUGUUUUGUAUCAUUUGUUUAGAAUGUGUAGCACAAGAUUCUCUUUUAUGUCAAAUUAAACACAACAUUAAUUGUAUAAGAGGGAAAAUAUCAUAGGAAGAAGCAAAAAAUAUUCUUGCACUAACUUUAGAAACAUUUUCAACCCUUUCUUAAUCAAUCUGGAUCACUUCCUAGUUAAGCUUACUCCAUAUACUUAAGCAUGACAAUAGCUUUAUUAAAUCAAAAUAAAGUUAUGCUUUAGCAUGGUAUAUGUAUAUUUAUCACCUUUGUUUCUGCUAAUUUUUCUUUUAACUGGGCCCAUUUAAAUUGAAUAAAGAAGCACCAUAUGAUUAACCAAGUAUAUAAAUCAAACUUAAAACAAAAUUAUGGAGAAAAAAAAAACAUAAUAAUUAAUCAGUGUUCAAAAGAGACAUUGACUGCAAGAUCUGUUCAAGGAAGAAAACAUAAAUAAUUAUGAUUUGUAGACCCUAUAUCUCUUGCUAAACAACAAUGUGAAAAGCACAAUACUCGUCUUUUUAGCUGAAAAUUUUUAUUGAAAUUGGAAAAUUUUAACACAUAUAAUUAAAAUCUGAUUCACAAAGUAAAAAAGAAAAAAAGAAGUAUAAACACUUAUGAAUCGCAUGCAAGCAUACUACAUCGAAUACUAUAUUAAGUAGUUGAGUGAAAAAGAUCUUAUUAAUAUUCUUCAUCUUCAUAACGUGAUAUUUAUAAUUAUAAUAUGAUUCAUAAAGAAAGAAAAUAAAAGCAUAAAUCCUUAUGAAUCGCAUGGAUGCAGACUAUAUAAUUAGUCAUUCUCUGUAAAUAGAAUAAUAACUCUAUAAUCACUAACACUAAUCCAUAAAAGAAUUACAUUUAACUGAAAUCUGAAGCAAUGCAGCUCUGAGAAUAUGAAAAAAUUGCUUGAAAACCAGAAUAAUUCACCCAAAAGAAAUAUGAUGCAUGCAUGGGACCACAAAACCAAAUCACUGAAACUGCCCUAUGUGAAUAUGCAUUAUGGAAUGUAUGUAAUAAGCUUAAGCCUUCCAAACCAAUCAUUGCUCCAUACAGUAGGGAAUGUAUAGCCCUAAUAAGUUAAAUUCNUCAUAUAUUUCUCAUCACAUUACAGCAUUGUUUUGUCUUCUACACCAUCUCUUUCACAUCAAACUGUACAAGACCCUUAUCCCGAAUUAGGUAUUAAGUUGUAGUACUUCCUUCAUAAAAAAGUUCCUCUCUUCUGAGAUGAUUAUCAGUUUGGUACAAUUUGCAUCAUGUGUUGUAACAUCACACUGAUUAAAUUCAAUAUAUAUAUAUAUAUAUAUAUUGGUGAAUACACCCUGUUAAGUUCGUAGAAGUGUGAUGUGCUGUUACUUUAAUAUAUAAAAGUUUAAAAACAUCUAGAAGAAUGGUGUGACUUAAGAAUCAUUGUGAACAGGAAAGUAAGCAUGCAUAAUAAUAUCAACAUGUUUUGAAAAACUGAAGAGAUGAAGUAAUAAACUAUUACCUUUUAAGAAUUCACAUGACAGCACUUUGAACUUUCAUAAACUAAAACGGCAGUUUCCAUUUUUAUAUAUAGUUUCUCAUACUAAGUCAAACCAAUUAUGUUAAUAUGUGUUUGAAUUUAGUAUAAUGAAAUGCAGAGUAUCAGUAAAUAGUUUUAUAGUAGAAAAAAAAAAAAUCAGACUCUUGAAAAGUUUAGAGUGUAGAACUUUAUCUUUCCCAUUUUCCUUGUUUCUUGCCCUGAUGUUUGGAAGAAGAUGAAGGUAGAAUAUGGAAAGUAGAAUUGAGUGGAAUGUGGUUGAGGAUGAGAAGACAGUGCCCAAGUUUUAAUGUGCAUAUGGUAAGAAGAAAAGAUUACAUUUACACCCUCCCCAUAUAGGGUGCAUAGGAUAAGGACCUUAAGAAUAGGGUAUAUAGGGGUAUUAUAGGUAUGAGAAAAAGUGGUAAGGUGUCCAGUCUGUUUCCUUGACUAUCCAGCCUACUGAAUGAGAUAACAAAGUCUCAUUAAAUAUAGAGAUUCAAAUGAAAUUUAGUGAUUUACGCAAUUCAAGGAAAUGGGAAUUUGCAAAAACAAAUGACUUUAGGCUUAUUCGGUGUGUAGUCUGUUCUUUUGACCUUUUCAACCUUUUGUUUUUAUUUUCUUACAAAUAUGCAGUAUUCAAGAUCACACUGAUUUCCUCUGUAAUGUAAAACUAGUAGCAGUAAUAUUUAAAAAUUGAUCAAGUUUGACUUAUAACGUGAAAGAAGAAAAGAAAGAGAAACUGAUAUCAGAAAAUUAUGAAGUAAUUUUUACAUUCAUGAUUAGCAGUAAUUUUUACAUUCACCGUGUUUCUACUGUUUCUAAAAAAUGGGUAUUUCUUCACCCUACUGUUUGUUUUUCGCUUUCCACACUUGUGUAUUUAAUGUGAAACAGUACCAUUGAAGCAUCUGUUUAUCUGUCACCGUCUGAAGAAACCUUAGGAAUAAUAAAAACAAUAAAAAAAAGGGAGUGGAAAUAGAAAUUAGAAAGGGAAAGGUAUACGCACAGAGGGAAUGAGAGAGAGAAAGAUGAUGUGGGGGAGGGAAGAAAUUUGAAGAAACAGCAAAGAAAGUUUCCAAUUUGAUGCUUAUUUUUUACCAUAUGGCAAUGUGAGUCCAUGUCACUUGCCUAUCACCUACCACUGAUAAUUCCAUGCCUUGUUAUUAACCCAACCACACCAUUUCCCUCUUCUCACCAAUUCAUGUGCCUCUUGUGUUCUUCAAUUCCCUCCGCAACUGCACAACACAGAAGGGUCGGUGCCUUGUCUUUACCUUCUCCUUUCUGUUUGUGUGAGGAGGGGGGAAUGCUGCUGCUCUGACAAGGUCCACUUUUGAGAUUGGAAACACAGACCCAUUGGCACAGUUGAGGAAUCCCACAAACCAAAAUCAUAUUUUUGACAAUGGGGUUUGACUGGCCAUGUGCCACCGUGUUCACAUCCAAGAGCAGAUUUUGACUGCAUAAGAGAUCUAGUCUUUAGGUGGAUUCGGGGUCAGAAAAGAGGCUCCAGAAAAAUCUCUGAAGGAUUUUGGUUGUGAACAGUGUCUUCUCUUUAAAUCUCUGCCAAGUUGCUGGAAGGUAACAACAGAGGGAUGUUCUCAAAUGGGUUGUUUUUGUGGUCAUUGGUAUUUUGUUGGGUUCGAUAAUUUGAAGUUUUGUUGGCCUCAUUUUUCAUGUGUACAAAUUGAAUGAGGCUUUGGUCUUUCUUUCUAAUUUGGUUAUCAAGUUCUACUUAAAACCGAUUUUAUACACUUGAGAUUUGUAAUGCCCAAAAGCCUUUGAGUCAACUUGUUGCAGAUUUCUUUUACAGCUAUGGUUGAUCCUCGAUUUGGUUUUCUGGGAUAUGAUAGCUCAGUUUGUCAUGUACAAUUUAGUUUUCUUUCCAUUUGCACUUUUAUUGGGGAACUGAGUUUCUUUCGACAAAUGAAUACCCUUUUCAAUUUGUUUUUACACAUGGAAGGAUAUCAAAAAAUUUAGUUUCCUUCUGGAAUUUGGUAUGACUGGAUUUGAGAUUCUCUUUCUCAAAAUAGUUGUAUGUAUUCAGUGAAGAAUACAAGAAUUUGGUGUUGUCCCAUUAAUUUUCCAAUAAUGUGCUUUAUAUUGCAACAUGAUUUGCUGUGUACAUUGAACUGAUUUAUUUUACAUAAAACUGACUUCUGCAGAUAUAUAUUGGCAGCUGCGAAUGGCAUCUGAUCUAAGUUCGGGGCUGUCCAAGGAAACGUCUGUAUUUGGGUUAAAAGCAUGGGAACUAAUGGGGAUACUGGUUGGGUUGUUCAUUGUAAUCAUUCUUGUGGUGGUAUCGAUAUGUCUUACUUCACGAAAGAAAUCCAGAAGAGUCAAUGGCAUGCUUCCCCUUAGCCAUAUGCUAUCUGUUUCCGAUGAAAUCAAGGAAAUUAGAGUUGAUCAAGUUUCAUCCAAUAAUCAUCCUCAGAAUGGAGCUUUUAUGAGUCUGUAUGACAGGUUUAGUGACAGAGACUCUGAAAAGGUUUUGAUCCAACCAAAGAAUGGGGAAAAUAGCAGUCAAUCGGGCUCAUUCGUUCAUCUUAAGAAAGAUGAUGGUGGCUCUCAAUCAGGUGAAGAAAGUGGUGCCAAAUCUGUUUCUACCUACAGGUCUUCUUCACAUCCUAUAACUGCACCAUCUCCCUUGUCUGGUCUGCCUGAAUUCUCUCACCUUGGAUGGGGCCACUGGUUCACAUUAAGGGACCUAGAACUUGCAACAAACAGGUUUUCCAAAGACAAUGUUAUUGGUGAAGGUGGAUAUGGAGUUGUUUAUCAAGGCCAGUUAAUUAAUGGGAGCCCUGUGGCUGUUAAGAAGCUACUCAAUAAUCUGUAAGUUUUGACAUUAAAUUGUUUAAGCAGGUCACAGCUGUUGCAUUUAAUUUCAGCUUCAAUCUAGUCUUUGAUCUCUUGUUUUACUUUUUAUUAGCAUGUCUUCUUCGGGUUAGUUAAUCUAAUACUGUUGGUGCCCAUCAUGCAGAGGACAAGCUGAAAAGGAAUUUAGAGUGGAAGUUGAGGCUAUUGGCCAUGUGCGACACAAGAAUUUGGUUAGACUUUUGGGGUAUUGCAUUGAAGGGACUCACAGGUAGCAUAUUGUUUUGUCAUUUUAUUUCUGUUAUACAUUCAGAUGCCACUUGUGUUUUAUUCUAUUUAUUUUUGGAAUCGGCAAAGAUGAAUCGUCAUUUGUCAGCAAUUGUGCAUGCAUGUAUGUUUAACUGUUUGUGUCUGCUGUGAUAACUGAUUGGUCAUUUGAUUGAAACAGUUUACACAAUAAUUUUUGUAGUAUCUUGUAAAUCUAUUAACUGCAACAAAUGAUGUUGAGAAUUUCUGUAGCAUAUAAUUUAUUAGUAAACAGUGUCCAUUGUUUUAUUUUAUAGUUGCACUAUUGUAUACUGUUUGAAUGAUUUGGACUAUUGACCCAUGGUGAAUUCUCUGUUUAUUUCAGGUUGUUGGUUUAUGAGUAUGUUAACAAUGGCAAUUUAGAGCAAUGGCUUCAUGGAGCCAUGAGGCAGUAUGGUUUUCUUACUUGGGAUGCUCGAAUUAAAAUUCUUCUUGGAACAGCUAAAGCGUAUGCAUGUUUAGCACUGUCUUAAUUUUCUCCCCCUUUUCUAUUUCCUUCUUAGGUUUUGGUGAGUUUCCUUUUAUUGAUUAAUGAUUCUAUUGCAGGCUAUCUUACUUGCACGAGGCAAUUGAGCCAAAAGUUGUACAUCGAGAUAUUAAAUCAAGCAAUAUUCUAAUUGAUGAUGAUUUCAAUGCAAAAAUAUCUGACUUUGGGCUGGCAAAGUUACUUGGUGCUGGAAAAAGUCAUAUCACAACUCGAGUAAUGGGUACUUUUGGGUAAGUUCUCUUUCUAAUGCCUUAAUAUUAGGGAAUUCUUUAUGAUUCAGAAGCACUUUUUCUUGGUAUUUUUCAUUUUACAAGCCACUGACUAUUUCUCUUUUUACUUUUUGCAAUUAUAUUUUAUAGUGCAAAGUAAAUAAUUGUACACUUAAUCUCUUUGGUUAAAUUUUCUUAGCAAUUUAACCAAUCAUAAAGAUCACAGUGAGCACCAUAUUAAAUGGAAUCAAGCAUUUCAUUUUACCUUGAUAUUUAUGAAAAGAUUGCAAUGUUCUAUAAAAUGACCGAAUUGGCUUUUUUGACUGCUUUAGUUGGCUUAUUGCAUUCUUCUUUUUUGUGCUCCAAUUUCAUUUUUCAGAUAUGUGGCUCCGGAAUAUGCCAAUUCUGGCUUACUAAAUGAGAAGAGUGAUGUUUAUAGCUUUGGGGUGUUGCUCCUCGAAGCAAUCACAGGAAGGGACCCAGUGGAUUAUAGCCGACCAGCAGCUGAGGUGUGACACUUGUAAAGAAUUUAAGAGAUCAAGACUCUAAUGUGCAUGUUCUUAUGUAGUCUUAUUAGUGGAUGAUUGUCUGAUUGUUAAAGAGUUAAGGAACUUUUCACCAGUACAUAUCUUCACUUAAAUUUAAAAUGUGAAGAAGGAUAUACAUUAGAAAUUUUCAUGGAGUAGUUGGUAGCUUCAUUUUGUUUUCAUAACACUGGCUUAUCAUACUCAGGACUUAUCAAACAUCUCUCAACACCGUUUGAUCGUUGGAUGGUUAUUGUAGGUAAAUUUGGUUGACUGGCUCAAGAUGAUGGUUGGCAAUAGGCGUGCAGAAGAGGUGGUAGACCCUAACAUUGAGACCAGGCCUUCAACAAGUGCCCUUAAACGUGCCCUUUUGACUGCUUUGAGGUGUGUUGAUCCAGAUUCUGAGAAAAGACCAAAGAUGAGUCAAGUUGUCCGCAUGCUUGAAUCAGAGGAAUAUCCCAUACCCAGAGAGGUUUGAUAUCAGAUCACAAGAACUUUCCAACUUUGUGUCACAGUUUUUUGUUUUUACAACCUCUGCAACAGUCAUUAAACUCUUCUUGUUAAGAAACAUGGUGUGUUUCUCUAAUGAAGUGGAUGAUAUUUCAGGAUCGAAGACGCAGGAAGAGUCAAACGGGAAAUAUGGAGGUGGAGGCUCAGAAGGAGAUUUCUGAUACAGAGAAGAGUGACACUCCAGAUUCGAAGUCCAAUGGCAGAAGGAACCAAAAGAAGUAGAGCCAUGAAUCUUAAAGCUAAGGUACAGUGUUGAAGGGCAAUUUUUUGCAUUCUUUUGAGCUUUUGAGUUUGGAUAACUGCCAGGUUUCACAGCAGAGACAUGGCAAAGGAAUGAGUUACUUUGGGAUGGAUUUUAUACCUAUUGUUGUUAUAGCAUAGAUGUAGAUGUUAGAAUGUAGAUUAUUGUGUAUUAGUAUGGGAUUAAAAAGACCCCUUAUACAUUACACUAGUGUGUACAGCUCAUUGCUAUUCAUACAUUUCCCUUUGUCUUUCUAUUUGUUUCACCUCUCAUUAGGAUCAUAAGGAAUUCAUGUUUCCUUGUGUACAAGAUUAUCAGAAAAUUUUACCAAAGCGUGAAAGACAAAAGAUGUGGUUAUUGUCUAUAAUUACAGUGAGGAAGUUUCUUCAUUAUUAUGGUAGCAUGGUUAUGGUUGGUAGCCUCUCUCCACUAAUUCUUGUGCUAGCCAAUGGAACUCGAAUUAUGCUUAUUUUUCGUUUUGUGAAUCAAUACUACUGUGAAACAAGUCCAUUGAUACUACCUUGAUGGAUUAUUAACAAAUUCAAUAACCUAAAUCAUGUUGAUAAUAAAACUUAUUAAAACUAAUUAUGAAUCUUUUCUUUUGAAAUAAUGAUAUACCUUUAAAACAUGAUAUGAUGAUAGAGUGCUCUAUCAGAAAACAUUUCACAGAAACUUCAAAAGCAUUGGUGAAUAAGGUAAAAUUAUUCUUUUAUUUUCAAAUUUCAAUAUCAAAUUUGUACUUUAAACCACAAUUUUUUUUGUUAAUGUUAGAACUAGUCAACUAUUAUUGUGGUUGAGUGAGAACAUACUUAUAGAAAUUAUACUUGAAGAAAUAAAUAUGAUAAUAAAGAAAAUAAAGAGAAUUUUGAAAGUAACAAAAAUAUCAACAUCAAUAAUGAUAACUAUUGAUUUUAAUUUGAAUAAUGACAUUGGGAGUCAUUAACAAUGUCUAGAUGGUAAAAUAAGAACCUUGGGCGGUUUAUAAAAUGCAAGUUUAUAAAAAGUACAAGCAUCCUAAAUUAGAAUUUGGAUUUUCUAGUAAAUAAUUUAAUCUUUAAAUGAAUCAUUAAUCAACUUAAAACACAAUCUUUUCAUCCAAAUAGUACACUUAAAUUUAAAAUUUAUCCAUAUAGUUAAUAUUUUAAAUAUUUACACAAAUAAUAUAUUUUUUUUUUCAAAUCAGAAUUCAAUCAUUGAAUAACAGAAUUUUGAACUGUGUUAUUUUUAUAAUUUCUUUUAUGAAUUUGUUUUCUCUUUUUUUUUUAAAUUAAAAAAAAAUAAAUUCGAUUAUCAGAUAAUCUAAUUCUGACUUAUUUUUCAAUCAUUUUCCUUCAAAUCACAGUUUAAAAUUCCACUAUCCAAAAAUCAAAUUCUGACCCAGAAAAAAAAAAUGUACUAUCUGUGUAAAUAUUUAUUGCAGUAUGCUAUCUAGGUAAUUGUUUGCCCAUAUAUGCUAUUUGGGUAAAAAAUCAAUUCAUGUUUAUAUAACUAGGAUGUACAUUAUAAACAAGUUAAAAUAUGACAAUGGUGAUAUUUACUUUUAGAGGCCAGCUGAAUGCCCACUACAAACAUCAUGCAUAGCCAAAAUGACAUCGAUCCACACAAACUGAAAUGCAAACAUGUUGGCCUAAUACGUUUUCAUAUUUCUACAAUUUAACCAUUACCAGUGCCAAAUUUUGAUUUACACAAACAGCUAAACUUGGAAAAGUUUAAGCCCUCUGAUUUAAGUUAUUAAGAGGAUUGUUUUCCAUUGCUGUAUAUAUGCAGACGUAGCAGAUAGAUACCUUGUCAUUCAUGGAAAAUAAUCCUGUUUCAAACAUCAUUUUAGACUCCACUAGUAUGUAUGUCAGCCAUAAAAGGUCUAACACUAACUCACUCAAGUGUCUCCAUAUUCUGCAUUCAACACUGCUAUUUAGUAACUUGAUGUUCAUUUCGUAACAUACAUCCCAAUCUACAAUUGCAUGCCCCGUGAAAAUAAACCAGUUUAUGCAUAGUAAAAGCAAAUAGCAUUUAUAGCAGAAGUAUGAAUAUAAAGGAUUUUACACUGUCAUCUAAUAACAAACAAACAGUUAUAUAUAAUAUAAUUAAUGAUUUUUAUGAUAAUUAUCAUAUUGAUACCAACGAUAAAUUGCAUAGAAAUUAAACUGAUAAAAUUUUCUUGAAUACUCAUUGCUCAUUCAUUAUUCAUUAGGAAGAUCUCAUAUAUCAGUUCAUGAAUAAUCACUCUUCGAUCACCUUAUUCUGCAACAGUAUGUGGUUUUCCUUUUCCUCUGGAGUCAUGAAUGCGAUGAUAGGGAAGGACUUUCCUAUUCCUACAGGGGUCUUAAAGAGUAUCUUCUUCCCCUUAGGAUCUUCAAUGCUCAUCUCAGAUAUUGGCACCCACAGCAGCAUCUGCUUGCUCUUAAUGCCUGUCAUUUUCUUCAUCCUAAACUUCUCCACAUACCCAGUGACCUCAACUGCAUAACUCACCCUGGUGUUGGUUCCCUCAAAGAAAUGCUCAUAAGGGGCCUUCUGUUUCAUCCACACGAACCCAGUUUCUCUGACUCUUCCACACUCCACCAAGUCCUGCAGGGGAAGAACACCCUUUGGAAAACCCAACUCUUCUAAGAGCUCUAUGGAGUGACGAUAACACUCUUCAGAACCAUACACUAUCUCUGCCCCUUCACGCUCCUUUACAACAACAGCCAUCUCAGCAAUUAAUUAGAAUUUUUCAAGCUAAAACAAUGUCAUGGUAAUGGAAGAAGCCACAACUUACCAUUAUAUAAUAACAAAUGAUACAGAAAGUUGGCCUGUAUUGAAUGCAGUGGUUCACCCGUUUGCUUCAGGUGGCUUUUUGUUGUUUACCUAAAUUAGCUUGGUUAGAUUAAGGUUCAAUUAUAACUAAUGCUAAAUUGUGUUAACAUAGAAAAGAUCAAACUUUAAGUGUUGUGUGAAACUAAUGAAAUAAGUAGUUGGAUUUUGUUAGAGAUAGGUGAAACUAUGAAUCAGUUUUCAUGCCUGUCUUGUGGUGGUGGGGUUAGGUAUGGACUUUCCAGUGUGAACAAAGUUAGAGUCUUCUAACAUGCAUUUUCAAGAAUACCUGUCUUUCAACUAGGAGCAUACGUUUCAUGGUGAGAGUUUCAGUUUGAAUAACUGAACAUGGAUAGAUUAUUAUUAUAGUGUAUAGCUUGUUCAAUUGAAAAUAGAAAAUUGAAUAAAUAGAAAAUUGAAUAAAUAAAAAUGUCUGGAGAGAUUCACGUUUUUUUAUUUAUUAUUUUUUAUAUUUCUAAUUUCUUUUCGAUUUUUCAAUCAUCACCCAUCAACCAACCAUGAAUUAUAUUGUGGGACUCAAUAGCCACCACUUGACGAACUUGUGAAUAUGAAUAUAAAGUAGCAUUGAAUUUGAACAAGAAUCACAAGUUUUAUAAUUUUUAUAUUCAAGUUGGAUUCGAUUUUGUUUUUAAGAAAGUUGGGCUCUAAGAUAAGACAAAUUUUGCUUAAAUAUUAACCAAAUGUUUUCAAUGAUUAUAGAGGUAAUCCAAAAGAUAAAUUCCUUAAUUAGGGGUAAGAAAAGAGUUAAAGAAAUUUUAACAUUCAUGCUUUCCAUAAUUUUUAAUUAAUUUAAAAAUAAGUAAAAUCGAAUGCCUUAAUCUUUAAUAAUUUUUUUAUUUCAUAGGUAAUAUAAUCAUUAAACUAUAAAUAAUGUUAGAUGGAAUAAAAGAAUGGGAACCAUUUAAUAAAAAAUUUGCUGUCAAACUUCUUAUUUAAUAUAUGGAAAAUGAAAAAAUAAAAAUGCUUCUAGAUUCCCAUGAAAAUUAUAAUUCAAGGUGACAUCAUGCAUUGUCCAUGAAAAGUAAUAUAUAUUUACUUUUACAUGGCUUGUAGAAAAGGAAACCGAAAAACAAACAAAAAAUAAAACCUUCAAAAAGCCAUAAACAGAACUAUCUAUGAUAGGAUCUUGACACCUACAUCACUAUUUAUAUAGCAUCAUCGUUUACUUGAGCCACAAAUAUAAUAACACAAGUGGGACUUUAAUACAGUAUGCCUCAAAACGAGUAAUCACUGACACCUGUCACAAGGACAACUGGUCAACGCAAUCUGCCAUCUGAAAGAAGGAAAUGAAUGAUUCUGGAAUUUACAUGUUUGGUGAUUCCUUUGCGUGAGUAGAACGAGUAUUCAGUAGAGGCUGCAAAGCUUUCACUAUAAUGCUCAUGUUUGGCCGAAACUCAGCUUCAUACUGUACACACAGUGCAGCAACAGCAGCCAUCUUUUGCAAAAUAUCAAAGCAACAUUUUAGAUGAAAUGAAAAUCCAUUCACAUAUUUUUAUAUAGACAAAAAGUUCAGAGUGGCAUAUAUUUCUUUCAAGCUUGUUGAGAAUAGAAUAAAAGGUUUGCAGCAAAAUGUGCAAAAGCAAGUUUUUUGGAAUAUCACUGUUUGACUAGAAGACAACAGAGAAUAUGAUCUAAUUACCUUUGCAACUGACUUUGAAGGGUACUCUCCCUUUAGUCUAACAUCAACACACUGCUUCACCUUAUCUUCACUGAGCUUUGGUGUUGCCUGAUAAAGCACAACGAACAAGAAUCACAAAAUGUGCAAAAUCCAAAUUUGAAAGGGGAAGAAAACACUACAGUAACAUUAACAGAACACAAAAGGUACCCAGGUGACAAGGCUUUGCUGUCCUCGGGGCAGUGUGUGAUCAACUGGUUUACGCCCGGUUAAGAGUUCUAGCAGUAUAACUCCAAAGCUAUAAACAUCACUUUUUGAAGUGAGUUGUCCCGUCAUUGCAUAUCUGCCAUACGAAAAGUGGAUUGAAGUUCAUUACAUUACUGUCCACAUAUCAGUUUUACGUUUUCUCAAUUAUGAUUUUCAUGUUCUUCUUAUCUACUUUUACAUCUUCUAACUAAAGCAGAAACUAUUUUAUUUAACAGUAUGCGCAAAAGAAAGCAUGCACUCAAACAAGUAGAUUAGGCUUCCAGGAAUAACUUACUCCGGAGCAUGAUAACCAAAAGUCCCAAGAACACGGGUAGAAUGAAGACGUGCAGCUGCAUCAGGGGCUUGAUUUGACAAGUCAAAAUCAGCAAUCUUUGCAACGUCAUCGUCAAAAAGAAGUAUGUUACUAGACUUAAUGUAACGAUGGAUGAUGUGAAUCUCUGCCUUUUCAUGAAGAUAUUCAAGUCCCCUGGCUGCUCCAACAGCAAUUUUAACUCUCUGAGCCCAUGAGAGCACUUCCCCGGGUUGUGAACCCUUGACUCCUUUUCGUCCUAUACACACCAGUUAUCAUUAAUCGUUAACAAAAAUAAAGACACUAACUAAUAGUUGGGGGAGUGGAUAUAAAGCAGCUUCAAUGUCAAAGGCAAAAAAAAAAAAAAAACUCGAAUAGCUUUUCAUGCUGCUUCAUCCAAUCAGUAAAAGUUACAACAUUAGUAGGUGAACAGGAGGAUAAAAACAUGUGCUUGACAGUAUAAUUUCUAUUUUCAUCAAGUCCCAUUCAGAAGGAUGGCAUUGUUUUUAAAAUUACAGUUCCUAAAUAAGUUACAAGUUACUGGGUUUUAUAAAAAUCAGCCAGAAUCAAUUUGAAACUAAGUUAAUCAAAGUUUGAUACUUUGAAUAUAUCUGUAUAACAUGCAGAAAAUAAGGGAUAAAACAGUACAAGAUAUAGCCUACCAUGAAGAAUAUCAUGAAGGGAUCCUUUAGGAGCAUACUCAUAGGAAAGGGCACGGAAAGGACCAUCAACGCAAUAGUUAACAAGCUCAACAACAUUUUCAUGCUUUAGCCUUGAUACGAUGGAGACCUACACAAUUUGGGAGCCCAAAGUACUGAAUAAAAACGUAGUUGCAGCUAUGUAGAAUGUGAUGCAAUGAUGUCUUAAAAUCUGAUUUUAUCAUUGGAAAAUUUACGACUGAUUGAUCCAAACCUGAGAAAGAAAUUCUUGCUCUGGCUGAUUACUGGAAUCUAACUUUUUGACUACCACUGCACGCCCAGUUUUCAAUGUAGCUUGAUAUACUUUCCCAUAUGCACCCUCACCAAUGAAAGAUUUUGAGCCAAAAUUAUCUGUUAAAGACUUCAAUUCGUCUACUGUAAUGGAAGGGACAGCAAUAGGUUGAAAAUUUAUUGGCCGAGGAGGAGGCACUGCAUUAUGUCUGCCAUGAUAACUGGCGUUCCCUGCAUUGUACUAACCGAAUCAAAGCCAAACAAAAGUGGUACUAAAAUAAAAGCAGGUUUACUAAAGUGCAAAAAGAAACAAAUAUACCAUUAAUACAAUCACUUAAACUACACUGAAUAGAGGAUAAAUGUAAAGUUAGGACAGGCUACUUUUGGAAUAUCCAAAUUUAGAAAAUGGCACGAAAAUAAAUAUAACACUUGAAAUGUCAAUGAGAAGCAAGUUCAAACUGUUGUAUGAGAGUGUAAACAGACAGCAUACUCAAAGCAUGAACCCUUGGGUUUCAAAUCAUGACAACGACUCCAUGACUUGUAUGAAAUUCAAUGAGACAUGGAAUUGUAAACAGAGAUUUUAAAGAAGGGAAAAAAACUGGAAAUAGCGGAUUACCAGUAGGAGUGUUUUGCAUGAAAGGUCCUCUGUCAGCAAUUGCAACACUAUCAUCUCCGGUGCAGAAGCCAAAGCAACCCAUAAUCCUCUAUUCUGGAGGUAAGUUUCAAAUUAAACAGUUAAGUUACUGCAAGAAGUAACAAUAAGACUGCGCACAUAUUAUCAAUACCAACUCCCUCCUAAGGAUAAACAACACCAGACGUAAACAAAAGAAAAGAACCACAUAUGCAAAUGUGGUUAGGUAGUUCAAGGUGCUAUAUUAUAUAUGAUGUCUUAAGGGUUCUGGAUAGCAGACAUUUUUAUUGUGCGUACUUCUUGGAGAAUUUUGAAGUUCUCUCAUGGAGGAAUCGCCUUUUCGGCUAUUCUGAUAAACUAAUUUUUUUUUAUCAAAUAUCAUUUCUUUUUUGGACAGAAACUUAAUUACCAAACAUUCAUUGUUCUAGCUAGGAACAGAAACAUAAAGUGCAGCAUUAAAACACUUCAGACAAAACAAGGAAAUAGAAUUUAGACAUGAACCAAUAAGCCCUUUGAAAGUAAAUCUGUAGCAACAUGAUAAAAUAAAAAUAAAUAGAAGAAAAAUACUCAGUCUCUUCCAGAACCACAAAGGGAUGACAAGAAAACGAGCCCCUCUCGACUUUAAAAGGUUAUUUCUUUUCACAUUGACAUUUAAAAGAUGCACACCAUAAAGGAAACAAGUUCCUAUUUAAUCUGUUGAUGCAUGACAGAACAACAAAUUACAUGUAAUUAGUCAAAAUGCAAACAGGAGCACCGACAAACAAAUCAGAAUUCAGAAAAUACAUUAGCCAUCCACUCAAAUCAAGACCAAUAGCGGCAAAUUAUAUUAUUCCGGAUGAAUAAAUGUGGUGAAAACAAAUUUCACUUUCACAAAACGGAAAGAAAGAAGAAGAAAACAUUUCACCAAAAGUUACUGUUAUAGUUGCAUCCCACUAUCCUCGAACUUGCGGAAGCAAAAAGUACAAAAUUUCUUAUUUCUACUAUUUAUAUUUAUAUCUCUAUACUAUCAACACAUUACCUGUAAGUGUAAACCCCAAAAAAGAUAACUGGCCAGACAGAAAAAACAAACAUGCAGAACUACCUUAAACAUGUUUCCCCACCCCCAAAAAGAACAACUAAGAAUAAUAAUAAUACUAACAACGACAACUACCACAACAACUACUUUAAAGACAACGAACCCCACAAAGCGAUAACCAUGCGGAAAAUCAAACCGAUUAAAGAGAAUUAUGGGUUCAAUACACAUACAGUCACCUCCUUCCUACAUAGGGACUCUGCAAUCUCAUCGUUCAAGAAGAGACAGAGUUGAACCAAAAAAAAUAAAUAAAACUUGAAAAAUAAAACUUCCCAGUCUUGAUGUUCGGGCAUGAACAUAAUAAGAAAAGGGUAACCGGCAAAACGUGUAGAAAAAAAAAAAAAAAGAAACAGUGCAUGAAGUAGUCAAAGAGAGGAAAACCCAGAGACAGGAAUCGGCGCCAUGAAAGAGAAGAAUCCACCUUUCAGAAUUCAAAGCGAAGAGGGUUUGUGUGGUUGCAGCGUUUGUAUUGUUUGGAGCGAAAAAUGGAUGAAGGAGAAGUUUGAAGGAAACGCAGAAGAAAUGUUCUGUUUGUGCGAAGAGCAACCUUGACUUCACCGAGAGACGUCUUAUGAACAUCACCAAACGUUAUUUAUUUACAUUUAUUGUUACUACUGCAGCGUUUGCCAAGUCAAUACUCAACAUCCCGUUUCCAAAACCGCGGAUAUUUUCCUUUUCUUAUUCCCACUUUUCCAUUAUUUUUUUCCUUACUCCCGUUCUCCGUUAAAAUGAGUCAAGUCAAUAAAAUAAAGCACGUUUGUUUAAAUUUGUUUCGUUAAAUAAUUACUAAUUUUUUUAAGGUUUUUAUUUUAUGGUAAUUGUUCCAGAUAUUCAUAAACAGCAAAUAAUCAUCAUAAAACUAAUUAAAAUUAGAAACUAUUUGAAUAUCCUUUCAUAAAAUCAAUUACUUGAAGAAAAUGAUUUUACUUACUGGUACAUUAUGCGUUGUCGAGUUCUAACACACAAGUUCUAAUUAAAACAAAUUUUAAAAACAUUUUAACAAAGUUCAAUACUUCAAAAAUAAUUGUUACGAUUACUCUUACUUUAACUCUGUCAGAUAAGACACAAGAAAAAUAAAACGAAAGAAGAGAAAAUGUUUCAUUUAAAAAUAUAAAAAUAAAAUAUUUUUGUGAAAAAAAAAAACUUUAAUUUAGUUAUAAUAUAGUGCAACGAUUUUUUUUUUAAUUGAAAAAAAAAUUGGCAUUAGACUCUUCCAUAAUCCUUCUAAUUCAGCAGCUGUACCGAAAUAAGCAAAGGUUUAUGAUUCUGCCACGUGGCGUACAUGCAGAAUCUGGUGCUGUUACGGAGUACAGGAAGGCAUGGAGUGAAUCUGCCACUGUUAUUUUAAUAAUAUAAUCAUAAAUAUUUAACUAAAAUGAUUAUAUAUGAACAAAAUAAAUUAAAAAAAAAUAAUAGAAAUUGAAAUGUUUAUUAAAUUUGGGUGAAGUUGAUGAUUAUUGGAAAAGCAAUUAAGGUGAAGUGAUGGUUUAAAGAAAGGGGGCGUUUUGAAAACUUUGGCUGGAAUUGCACUUUUGAUGUUGGAUUUAGCUGGCUUCUAAAUUUAUGUGGUUGGCAUCUUUCUUCAAGAUUCCAUCUACUUUUUCAGGUUUUUCUAAUAAAUUAAUUUAUUUUUAAGAUAAUGUAUAUACGCGUUAUAUAUAUAUAUAUAUAUGUAAAUUUUUUACAUUUGAUACUGUCUUUACUUAUUUUUAUUUUUUUAAAUAUAAAGUCUUAUAUUUUUAUAAUAUUUUAUCUUUAUAUUUUAUAUUAAAUAAAUAUAAAAAUGUAUCAUCAUAUUUAAAAGAAUUAUUAAAAGAAUUAAGUCAUAACAUGUAGUAAGGAUGUUGCUCGGAAAAAGUUUUAGAUUUUGUUUACUUGAAUAGAUUUAGAGAAGAGUAAUUGAAAGGAUUUGAUGAUAAAUUUGUUUAUUGUUUAUUUGAAUAGAAUUGGAGGUAAGUGAGACUGAAUUUAGAAGUAAAAUUGUACUACAUGAUCAUGAUUUUUUUUUCAAAUUCAACUCAAUCUCCUUUUAAAAACUUUGGUGUAAUUUAAUUUUUUAUUAAAAAAAUAUAAUAUUAUUAUUAAUAUUGUAGAAUAUGAAAUUAUUAAUAUUAACUUUUGAGUAAUAUAUUUUUAAAUGAUAUUUGUGAAUAUCGUUUAAAAAAAUUAUUGUAAAAAAGUUUAUAGAUAUUUUUUAUGAAAAAUGUUUCACAAUAAAAAUUACAAGUAUUUUUUGUAAACUUUUUUUUAAGAAAAUUUGGAAAAGAAUCAGCAGGUAAUAAUAAUAAUUAUUCGCAAAUAAUUUUUUACAAAAUUUGUAGAUACUUCUUGAAAAAAUAAUUCUAAAAUAGAAUUCAUAAAUACCUUUCAUGAAAAAAUAUUUUAUAAUCAAAUUUGCAAAUAGUUUUUAUAGAAAUUUUUAAAAUUUGAUUUUUCUAAUAAUAAUAUAAUAAUAUAAAUAAAUUUUAUUUUAUUUAAAAUAAAUUAACAUAUGUAAAAUAAUUAGUAUUAGAAAUAAUAAAUAAUUAAAAAAUAAUGAAUAACUUGAUUUUAAAUAUAAAUAAUAAAGUAGUUUUAAUUACAUUAAGAUAGGAUAAAAGAUUUAGUUUAAAACUAAAUUACAUAUGUUUAUGAAAAUUAUAACUUUAGUUCAAAACCUAUUACAUUAACGUCUUGUUUAUUUGAGUAGAUUUGUAAUUUAAAAAAUUUGAUGAUAAAAAGUUUUAAUGUUUAUUUAAAUAGAUUUAGAAGUAACUGAGAGUGAAUUUAGAAGUAAAUAUUUUUAAUCUAUCAAAUAAAUUAAAUCUUAUACUAAUUUCUUCAAAUUUUAUUUUUAAAUCUAUUUUCACUUAUCUUCAAAUCUAUUUAAAUAAACAAAAAAAAUAUUUUCAAAUCCUUUGAAUUAUUCUCUUUCAAAUUCAUUCAAGUGAACAAAACCAAAUUUUAAUUAAAAUAUAAAUCUCACUAUGACUAAUUAGCACAAAUUAUUUUAUACCAAAAUCUUUAAGUGAAAUCGUUAAUUCCUAAUACAAUUUCUUAUUAUUAAUUAACACUUACUGACAAUUUUUUUCAAACAAUAUCAUCACUUUCAUAAUUUUCUUUUUUUUUUUGAAAGAGACUCAUAUGCAUAAUUUUUAAAAUAAAUUAAACCUGUGUAAAAAAACAAAGUAUUUUUUUCUCAUUGUGAAUUCUCCCAAAAUUAACACUAAGCUAAGAUUAUUACACGAUUUGCCGACAUCACUUUUUAUAAAGGUAAAAGUCAAUUUCAAACUCCGAGCAUUUUGAAUUGGUCUUUUUUGAAAUUGUUUUUUUCUGGGAAACUUCCCAUCCUAUUCCUUUGACAAAAUAUUCAUCUCUGAUGGCUUUUAAUUAUCUAAAUUACGAUUACCGAUUUAAGUUCACUCAAAUCAAUAAUCAUUUCAUUAAAAAUUUCUGAAAAAGUCAAAUUGAAAGGGAAUAUCUUUGAUACCAGUCAAACUUUUGGAGAUUAAUCUCAUAUUCAACGGAAAUACUCUUUAUUAUAAAUGGUAACUAAUUUCUCAGUCUUGUUUCUCUCUAACUAAUUAUAUACUAUAUUUUCCUUUCAAUCGGAGAAGACCAAAAUGCAACAAACCAUAUAAAGAUGCAUAAAAUGAUAUUUAUAAAUGUAUGGUAUGAAAUUUAACUCUAACAGUACCGUUUAGACAAAUAAACGAUUAAUAAAUUAAUAACAUGAUUAAAGAUAUUAAUAAUUUAUUAUCAUAUUAGAAAACUGGUUAGAAUUAAAGAUAAAAUUGUUUUAUAACUAAAUAAGUAAGUUUCAUUGAGUUUUAAUAACUAACAUAUCAUCAGUAUUAUCACGCCAACUUAAAAAACAAAAAAAAAAUAGGUCCAAAAAGAAUUUCUACAAGAUAAUGUUAAGACACAGUUCUACAAGAUAAUGUCAGGAAACAAGUGAAUAAUAUGUUUUUCUUUAACAGUUUCUUUGUGUAUUUUCAUAAAUUUCUCCCGAAUCAUAGUAGAAAAUAAUCAUUUUUUCUUUCUUUCUGAACUGUGUAAUUUAAAAUUAAUUUAACUAUGAAAAUUUUGAAAGUUAUUUCAUACUUAAGAAUUACACCAUUUACAAUUUAGAAGAUACUUUUUUUUUUCUUAAAAGUGAUUUUCAGGUUACAGUCUGCAAAUAAAAAAAAAUAUUAGAUUGCGUGAUUUAAAAGUAAAAAAUCACUUUCCAAAAAUUGAACGAAAGUCAUUUUUUUACCUUUGAAUUACUUAAUAUGAAAAAAAAAUAUUUUUACUAUUAAAAAGUGAUAAUUGAUAUUAUAAUUAUUAUUUUAUUUAUUUUUAUCUUUUAUUGAUAUUCUCAUUAUUAUUUUUAAAUAAUUAAUUUUUUUAUUUAAUAAAUAAGGAAAUAUAAAUAUUUAGUUCUUAAUUGUCAAAAUAUUGUACAUAUAAGUAAAAAAAUAAAAUUGAAAAAUACUUUAUUGUACUUUGAUUACAAAAAUAAAAUAUAAAUUUAUCAGUUUUAUUUGAGCAAAUUUACUCAUUUUCUAUGAAUAGGAAGUUUAAUAGAUUUAGAAAAACACAAAACAUAGAAAACUAAUUUACUCAUACGACAAAUAUUUAUUUUAAAAGUAUUGUUUAUUAUUAUUUUUUAGCAUUUAAAAUAUUUAAAAGUAACCAACUCCCUAAUUUAAGAGGUUGGACAUAUAAAACAAUUAAUUAUUCAUAACAUAAUAAUUUUGAACUUAAUGCAAACUUAUAUAAAAAUUGUUAAGAAAUUAAAGUUUUGAAACUUGUUAUUAAGACAAUUAGGAUUUGUUAUAUGUGGUGUGAAUACUUAAGUAGAAAUUAAAAAUAGAUUGUUAGAUGUUUUUCAUGGAAUUAAAUUAUUAAACCUAAGGCUCUUUACUAUAUAUUUUAUUAAAUCAAUUUAAUUACUUUCUAUAAUUUUAAAAUUAUUUUAUAAUUAAAAAAUAAUACUUUUAUCACUUCAAAAUGUUUCUAACCUUGAUUAGAAAUAAAUUUAAUUUUUUUAACAGCAUAAAUCUACUUAAAAAACAAUAUUUAGAUUCAUCUAUUUUAUUAUUUUAUGAUUUGAUACACUUAUUAAUUUUAUAAAAAAAAAAAUUAAGAAGUUAAAAGUAACUUUCAAAAUUGAGAGAUGUUAAGAAAAAAAAUUUAUUCAUUUGACUUUCAGAUUAUAUAUUUUGAAACUCUUUACUUUCGAAUUGAUACCAUUCAAAUGUUAUUUUUGUAUUACAUAAUCUAAAAACAUUUUUCUUUUAGUUUUGAAAAUGACUUCCAAAUUAUAUAAUUGGAAAAGAAUUAAAAUGGAUUUUUUUUCAUGUAAGAUGGAAGGAAAAAAUUAUGGAAAUUUGUUCCUUUUUUUAGAGGUAGUUUGUUUUUAAUUUUAUAUUUUAGGAAUCAUACUGAAAGACAACAAUUAGAGAAAUCUAUGGAUUUUUUUAACAUGAAGAUAUAAAACUCUUGAUAUUCUUCAAAAUUCAUGUUUGAUUUGUUGGCAAAGUGACUUUUGGAGGUUGAGAUUAAAAGAGAAACAAUUUUCAGCUACAUUGUAAGACUGCAAAAAAAAUAUUAAAAAGUUUAUUAUUACUUUAUACAAUUCAAAAGAAGAAGAAGAAAAGAACAAAUAAAAAAAAGGUUUUAGGCUGAUUGGCCAAAAGGAAUAUAUUAUCUGUCCAUGCAUGAACCAUUGUUUCUGAGAUUUACCUUUUUUUCUCUUCUAAAUGGAACAUGUACUCAUUCUCAUGCCACCAAAUACCCAAUCAAUAUGGAAAAAUCAUGCUAAAACUUUAUCUUGGUUUUGGAGAUUUAAAAAAAUAAAUAUUCUUAACAUUUUUUAAAAUGCUCAAAAGAAAAAAAAAAGCUCUUUAGAUAUAUUGAUAACGUUUAUUUUAAAUAUCUUCAAGAAAAAACAAAUUAAAGGUGAUAUGUUGACUGUUUAGAGUUUCUCUCUAUAUUGCGUAAUUUGUAUAAAUUUAUAAAAAAAAAAUCUAAAGAGUGAAAAUUUUAGUUACUACUAUAGUUUUCCUACAUAAAGAUGUAUUUUUUGUUAUAUUUUUUUUAUUUUUAAUUUCAAAAACAUGAGAAAAAAGAAGCAUCUAAAGUGGCAUCACAUGAAUCCUCAGGAAAUUUUAAAUAGCUGAAAUUUUAUAGUGUUGUUGAAAUUGAAAUUAUUUUGAGUAACUUUAUUUUCUUGGCAUUCAUAAUAACUAAACAAAGUUAUUACAAUUUUAUUUUCCUCCCUCUUGUAUCAUCUAAAUAUGGAAAAAUUCAAAAUUCUCAUUCACUUUUUUUUUUCUUUCCCUAUUUCUUAUUAACCUAAUAAAGAAGAA
rnacentral:lncRNA from 1 species